ACAACAAGCCAAGCAUGUAUUAUGAUUACUACAAACAAUGUUGAAACUGUUGUAAUCGAGAUAAAAGUGUGAUUUAUCGGAAUCCAUAAAAAUAAAAUAAAAUUCACCAUAGAGUAUAAAUAAUAAAAAAACUAGAUGGGCUUUAUACCAAACUUCAAAAUUGAGUCCAAACACAAAGGAUAAAUUUCCUACACUUCUACUUAUUAAAAA
rnacentral:lncRNA from 1 species